rnacentral:rRNA from 1 species
GAUGAACGCUGGCGGCGUGCUUAACACAUGCAAGUCGAACGGGAUCGGCUGGAGCUUGCUCCGGCCGUGAGAGUGGCGAACGGGUGAGUAAUGCGUGACCGACCUGCCCCAUACACCGGAAUAGCUCCUGGAAACGGGUGGUAAUGCCGGAUGCUCCGACAUGACGCAUGUCGUGUUGGGAAAGAUUCAUCGGUAUGGGAUGGGGUCGCGUCCUAUCAGGUAGUCGGCGGGGUAACGGCCCACCGAGCCUACGACGGGUAGCCGGCCUGAGAGGGCGACCGGCCACAUUGGGACUGAGAUACGGCCCAGACUCCUACGGGAGGCAGCAGUGGGGAAUAUUGCACAAUGGGCGCAAGCCUGAUGCAGCGACGCCGCGUGCGGGAUGACGGCCUUCGGGUUGUAAACCGCUUUUGACUGGGAGCAAGCCCUUCGGGGUGAGUGUAC